UACAGAGGGGGCGAGCGUUGUUCGGAAUCACUGGGCGUAAAGCGCACGUAGGCGGGUCUUUAAGUCAGGGGUGAAAUCCUGGAGCUCAACUCCAGAACUGCCUUUGAUACUGAGGAUCUUGAGUUCGAGAGAGGUGAGUGGAAUUCCGAGUGUAGAGGUGAAAUUCGUAGAUAUUCGGAGGAACACCAGUGGCGAAGGCGGCUCACUGGCUCGAUACUGACGCUGAGGUGCGAAAGCGUGGGGAGCAAACAGG
rnacentral:rRNA from 1 species